UUUACUUUUCUAAUUGUAGGACAUCCAUUCAGCCAGCUUUCAGGUGGAUCUGAAUGAUGGUUGUUCUGUAUUUUAGUUGUAAU
rnacentral:pre_miRNA from 1 species